CUGGGGGGGCUUAAUUUGACUCAACACGGGGAACCUCAUCAGGCCAGGACACCGGAAGGAUUGACAGAUUGAGAGCUCUUUCUUGAUUCGGUGGGUGGUGGUGCAUGGCCGUUCUUAGUUCGUGGAGUGAUUUGUCUGCUUAAUUGCGAUAACGAACGAGAUCCUACCCUACUAACUAGUCGAAACCGGCAUCCCCUGUGCAGCCGGCGACCAACACUCUUCUUAGAGGGACAGGCGGCUUCCAGCCGCAGGAAGUGGGGCAAUAACAGGUCUGUAAUGCCCUUAGAUGUUCUGGGCAGCACGCGCGCUACACUGAAGGGAUCAACGUGUGUUUUCCUUGCUCGAGAGGGCCGGGUAACCCGUUGAAACUCCUUCGUGCUAGGGAUUGGGGCUUGCAAUUAUUCCCCACCAACGAGGAAUGCCUAGUAAGCGGGAAUCAUUACUUCCUGCUGAUAAUCUGCCUGCAUAUA
rnacentral:rRNA from 1 species